rnacentral:rRNA from 1 species
UUGAUCCUGGCUCAGAUUGAACGCUGGCGGCAUGCCUUACACAUGCAAGUCGAACGGUACCAGGUCUUCGGACGCUGACGAGUGGCGAACGGGUGAGUAAUACAUCGGAACGUGCCCAGUCGUGGGGGAUAACUACUCGAAAGAGUAGCUAAUACCGCAUACGAUCUGAGGAUGAAAGCGGGGGACCUUCGGGCCUCGCGCGAUUGGAGCGGCCGAUGGCAGAUUAGGUAGUUGGUGGGAUAAAAGCUUACCAAGCCGACGAUCUGUAGCUGGUCUGAGAGGACGACCAGCCACACUGGGACUGAGACACGGCCCAGACUCCUACGGGAGGCAGCAGUGGGGAAUUUUGGACAAUGGGCGAAAGCCUGAUCCAGCAAUGCCGCGUGCAGGACGAAGGCCUUCGGGUUGUAAACUGCUUUUGUACGGAACGAAAAAGCUUCUCCUAAUACGAGAGGCCCAUGACGGUACCGUAAGAAUAAGCACCGGCUAACUACGUGCCAGCAGCCGCGGUAAUACGUAGGGUGCGAGCGUUAAUCGGAAUUACUGGGCGUAAAGCGUGCGCA